rnacentral:misc_RNA from 1 species
GAGAGACUUGACCUUAACAUCAAAAGAUCUGCACAUAUUAAGAUCAUUACGCAUAGACAAUCACACAAUUUUCCACAAAAGCAAGCCCCAUGGUGCUCUGUUUUAUUAACAUGCAUAUCAUAUUCAUUUAUUACAUGAUAGCAUAGAUAGAUGAAACAUCAUUGAGCAUCAUCAUUAUACUCUUCAUUUUUAUCGUUCCCCCAUUUUAUUGAUAUGUAUAUUUGAUAGUCUUCUCCUUUAAUCGCGUCUCCAAUUCCCUUACACCGGGGUAUAUUGAAUCCUGAUUUUGCCAGCAUUAGGAUCUGCAAUCUGGGAGAAAGCUUCCUUAGAUAGAUCAAUAGUUCCUUGGCAACCUGGUGGACAGUAAUCAACUAUUGUUACGACAACGCUUGCACCAGUGCAAGGCUGGGGUACCCCUUGGUUUGUGGCUCCAGUGCAUGUGACCCUGUACCUUCUCCCACAUGCAGCCUUGUUGUUCCAUAAGGCAUCACUUGCUGCCGCUAUCAUCACUCCCUUGUUCUCAUAUCCAUAACACGCAGAGGGGACGUAAGGCGGAGUGUAGAAAGUGGCAGUCCCUUCAUCAGCGUAAGCAACUGAGACAAGGCAUCCUGCGAUGCUCAACAUGAUCGCUGCUUGCAUAGCCAUUCCCAUGAUUUUCAUUAUGUUUUCUCUCGUUAAGACGGUAUUCUAG